AUUCUCAAUCAGCCAUCAUGCCAGAGAGGAAAAUUAUCCACCUGAUUGAAGAUAAAAGAGGCAUUGGCAGAGCAUCUGUGGUCUCUUUGUCUUGGCCCCAACCUCACAAUCUGACAUGACUAACGAUGAUCCCAUAAAAGUCACCUCAUGCCAUGGGAUCAUUCAGAUGAUAAAAACUGAGUGAGCAUAAUGUCACUUAUGGACUCUCCUACACCAGAAAGUGUAUAUGUGCCUGAAAGAGAGGACAAGUAAAUUAUUCAACCACAUGAGCAUCCAACGGAAUGAAAUGCACAGGGUAAACCAACAGUACUUUUUCACAGCUGUGGAGGCGAACUUGGUUUUUAGUAAUAAGAAAAAAAUUUGUCGAAAUGAAGCGGGACCAGCUCCAGUAAGAAAACCUAGGCAGCUUUUUCUUUUGAGAAGUGAAUUGUCAAGACCGUCUGCUUACUUUUCUGGGGAAGAAGAAUGGACUAUGGGGAAUACGGAGAGGAAGAUGCAAAGUAAGAACAAAAAGAGUCUACAACCAAUCCUGGACAGUAGGUAUUAAGUCAGUUGUUAACAUGAGUGACAUUGAUUUUAUUCAAAUGGUAUAUUGUUUGAACAUUCAGAAA